rnacentral:rRNA from 1 species
AGCGUGCGCAGGCGGUUAUGUUAGACUGAUGUGAAAUCCCCGGGCUCAACCUGGGAACUGCAUUUGUGACUGUAUAGCUAGAGUACGGUAGAGGGGGAUGGAAUUCCGCGUGUAGCGGUGAAAUGCGUAGAUAUGCGGAGGAACACCGAUGGCGAAGGCRAUCCCCUGGACCUGUACUGACGCUCAUGCACGAAAGCGUGGGGAGCAAACAGGAUUAGAUACCCUGGUAGUCCACGCCGUAAACGAUGUC